AUAGACAGUUCAGUCUGAGUCUUCAGCCCUGAAUCUUGAAAGGGCUUGUGCUCCAUGCAGGGGGUGGAAGAAGACUUGAGGGGUAUCUUAACACCCCAUCUAGACAGCCAGCACAAAUGCUAGUGUCUGACAUCCUAAAGCAGUCCAUUUGGGAUAAUUUACCUUAGCAAACUGCUCCUCCUAAGUCACAUAUCACAGCACUGGAAACCCUGGUGCACUGGUUUCCCUUUCAGAAGUCUAGUGGUGUUAAAACUUAAUGUGUAGAAACUUGUGCUCAGUCAGUUCAUACCACGUUCCAGAGGUAGGGCACUCCCUCUUACAUCUAUCUUGCAUCCAAAUCAACAACACGAAAAAGCUGCUUUGGAGCUUUUUCUUUUUAAAGGUGUGGUAGGAAUCUGACCCAGCAAAGCAGAGGUAACAGAAACUGGGAAAGGACAAGGUUAAAGAUAUUCUCUGCUGUGUCUCAUUAUGUGAGCCUUGCAAUGGAGCCUGUAAUUGCAUGAGCGCACAGUCAAUCCAUAGUGUGGUAAAGCUGAUACAAUUUAAUAUAAGCACUUAAACAUAGCUUCAUUCCUGAAAUCUUGCACUUCUCUUGCUUUAAUUACGACAAUUACAGAGCUGUUAGGGAAAAAACAUCAGCUUUCCAGGAGAAGGCAACAUCAAACACGUAUCUGGUGUGCUCUGCUUGGCAAAUUUCGGCUUCUGAGAACGCUCCCGAGUGAUCCGUCCUAGUCCUUUGCAGGCCUUAGAUCUAACGUAGCACAGAACUUCAUGCAGACCACCCUCAGAGGUAAUGAGAUGCAAAGCAUUUCAAGUUGAGAACACACAAACGACCUCCAAAAAGUGAGAGAAACUAAUUGAAACCAAAAGUGGCGCUCACCACGUGUUUGCAAUUGAGAUUACAAGCAGGGAUGCAUAUUUCAAGGUCAUAUUCUGGUCGGGGAUGCAGAAUGUGACUGUGAGAGCGGCACCUGUGGAGCAGAGCAGGGAAUUGCCCCUUGGUGGCCUGGAGAAGUUGCAUGGACACUGGUGUCACUGAUGGGCUGAGGAGAGCUCUCUUCUGAAGAGCUGAGUUAGAAUCAGUCGAUCCUCCAUAGAAUCGUAGAAUUGCUCAGGUUGGAAAAGACCUUAAAGACCGUCAAGUCCAACUGCAACCUGACCAUACUACCCUAAAUCUAACAAUGCAACUCUUUGCUUGUGGGGGUGGUGGAGGAAGAAUAUAUGCUGUGAAAAUGGAUUUCUUUAGGUCUGCCAUGACUUGCGUGAGCGUGGCCCUGAGCUAGCCAGCUCAGUUCUAUGAUUCAGUUCUCAGUUCCCUAACAGCUAAUUAAGGGGCAGGAAGGAACCACAUCCAUUACCGUACUGUGCUGAAGACUGCUGUUGUCCAGUGUGUGGAUCCAGCAGCAACUGGGAAUCCAAGGAGCUUUUCCAGCAGAACGCUUCCUUCUGAAAGAUGGCGUUCAGGGGAAGGUGGCAGCUCUAGUUCUGGGUUUUUCUACCAGCCUGAUUUCUCAGAGGCAAUUUAUACCAGGGCUGAAGUAAUCUUCUGUGGAUUCCAACCAGCGUGGAGGCCGCAACCUGCAUGCAGUCAAUUUUGCAUUCAUUGUACCAAAUUUUGUAGCCAGUCAGUCUGCUUCUCAGUCUCUGACCACAGUUGUUCACAGCAAGCCCUACCAGCUAGAACACUUCAUGUCCAGAUGGCUGUGAAAACUGUGAAGGACCUGGCUAUCAGCAUGAAUCCUUUGCAUUUUUAAGUGAUCUCCAUCCUAAAACAACAAUAACAAAAAAAGACCAUUUCCUACUCUACUUUCCUUUUCUUUCUUUCCAUAUUUUGAUCAAUGUUUCCCUGUGUGUACUCGCUCUGUGAUGAGUGCUUAGUUUCCUUAACAGCAUCCCAGAGGAACCUGAUUCCCCCUGUCCUGCAGACUCAUUCAGGGAAUUUCAGUACGUUUGGAGCUUGAUUUCUCUUUAUGAAGCUAUCUUUAUUUUUUUCCCCAAAUGUUCCAUUUGUUCAUUUAUCACAAGACGAUUUCUUUACUGUAGUUUCUAUUUAUUUGCCUUGGGGAGUUGUUGGGCUUAUUGGUCUACAGUUCCCUGGGUUCUCUGGACAUUACAUCACUGCUUCCAGCACCAGGGUGAUCUUGAUCAAGAGGCAGAAUAUCACAGCUGGGGCUGAGCCAUUUCAUCCUUCGGUUCUUCCAGAACUCCUGCACUAAUAUCCUCUUGUCUGAUGAUUUGUUGGUGUUCCUUUCUCUGUCUGCCUUACGACCUCUCUUACUCACAAUUCAAUCUCAGAAAGAUCCUGAGCCCCCCUAAACACGGUUCUGGUCUGGGAACUUCUGGUGCUCACAGCUGUUCCAUCAUAUGUCUGCCAUUGACAGGUAAGCAAUCGCAGCCCCGGUCAAUACUUGCAGGUUUAAUAUUGGAUGCUUCUGCCAUUCCCUGGGGAGAGGUAUGUGAUGUAAUGGAACUGACAAUCAUUUGAGUGAGCUGCUCCUCUCUGACCUAGAUUUGGUCCCAGUCCUAUACAGAUGCUGCAUUAUGUAAACGGAGCACGCACACAUCUCUCUCUGGGUAUAAGAGAUGCAAGCAUAAAACCUCGUGUGAACAGAUGCUGAGAAUAUACAAUUCAGCCUUUGAUAACCUCCUGCUACUCUUAACCUAUGGAAGCUGAGAUCACAUAUUAGUAAAACUUGGCCAUAAUUUUAAGUGACUCAAAAAAAAUACUCUCCAAUUAAAUCACUUAAUGGAGCAGGUAGAGAUUUGAUUUACAGCUAUGCUGCUUUCAUAAUGGGUUAUUCCGUGGGGGCAAGAAAUGUAUUGCAUCUCCUUGAAUUUUUAAUGUGUGAAUAGUUUGUAAAUAAUUGAUAAAGCCUGUCCUUUAUUGUUGAUUUGUUUUUUUCUUAUUUUUUUCACCCAUUGAAAGAAAUAAUAUUAAUCAGAAGUUUGAAGUUUAAGUCGUCAUCUCUUCCCAAGUCUCAGGGGAAAUGAAAACAAACAGGUAGUUUCCUUGCAGGAGAGAAAAGAUUCCCUGAACACCAUGACAGAACCAAUUGCUGGACCUCAGCCUUAUGGGGGAGGAGAACAUUGCCCUGUUAGGAAUUGAAUUUGCUGUUGUGGCUACAGAAGACAACUUUGUUGGAAUGCUUGUAGCCCAGGAGGAAACGUUCAGUGCACCGACUGGAACGGAGCCAGCUAGGAAGGGACUUCAGCAGGAAGGGCUGCACAGCUUCCCAGCCAUCACAGGAUCAGAGCAGCCGUGGACCUGAGGAGGUGAUUAAGAAUCAAGUGCCCGUGACAAAUAGCCCUUCAGAGGAAGUUAGCUUUUGUGGGAGCAACUCGAGCUGACCCUGAGUCACAGCAAAGAAGCCUGUGGAGGAAUCAUGGCCAGCCAACAGGUUGAGUUGGAGGAAAUCUCUUAGAUAGAUGGACUAUCAGACUGUGAAAAAGCAUAAGAUCAACGAGGCUGGAGACCACUGGCAUCCAAUGGCCUUGACAAACAGUGUCAGUUCAACAUGCUCCAAGCCAUCUGCUCCUUGGCACGGGUAAUUCUGGCUAGCAUUCAUUCCAGCUACUGAGGAUCUUCAGCCUAACUCUGCUGGGGAAACCAAGGGCACAAGGACAAACCCCAGCAGGAAAUUAAAUUAAUCUGAAAUACAGCAGUCCCUAUUUGAAGAAGCCAUCAGUGUGGUCAGCCUGAUGCAAAGUGUUGGGUGAAGUGGCUCGAAUAUUAAUGUAAUGGAUUAGAGGCCUCUGUGACCAUGGUUAGUUUUCCCUUGAGGUAUUUUGGUGAUUCACAAGAUCUUUUAAAUGCUGAUCAGAAGAAGAGGUUGAUUCAUCGUGUUAACAUUAAAAGAUAUUGGAGGAGGCUAAAAUCUUUGUAUUUCCAAAGUAUAGGAUGAACUUUAUUAUGAAGAGCAGACCCUGAUGUAGCUGUCUGUUAAAGGACUAUCUUCUUGUGAAGCACCCGAGGCUGCUGUAUGUUGGAGACAUAAACAGGAGUGCUAAGUGAGCCUUGGUUGCCAUUGCUGGGAUGGAGGAUUGAGGGCUGAAGGCUCUGUAGGGUUUGCUUGGGUCACACUGAAACACCUCCAAAUGUGUGUGUUUCAGUUUUGGAUCUGUAGUGGAUGGGACUGGGUGAAAAAGGCAAAUCUUUAGCUGCCGAAAUUACCAAAGUAAUAAAGAAGCCAAGGAUUCAAGAAUAAAAUAAGAUCCUUUCAUGUGCAAGUAAGAUAUUGGACAGACGUAGAUGAAAAGAAUGCAGCCUAUGUCAGUACCUUUCUCUUAUGUUGAGAUCCUUGUGUUUCCAACUGCUUCUUGAAUUUAACAAAGCAUGUCUGUAUUCUACUUGUCACUUACUGUACAUCCUUGUGCCUGGGACAGAGUAUUUAUAUACAAAACAUUCUGAUAUGUAUAAUCCAGCACUGAAUGCAGAUAUUUUUGACUGCAGUUCACUUUCUCAUUGGGUUAAUUUUUCAUUGGGUAGGCUUAGCUCACCAUAAAAGCAGGUUAGAACGUAGCCACAGGUAUUUUGUGCUAGUUUGUGCACUGCAACUCUUUCACUUGCCUUGUGAUACCUUGCCUUGUGAUAUCUUAUGCACGUCCCCCUGCCUGCAGAAAAUCGGGAGAGCUGUCCUGGGACAGUAAUUAUGUAUCACAGAAUACGAACACAUUUUCCCAGAGAUAUUGCCCUACUUUGAAUGAAAUGAAACAGAAAGGCAAAUGAAGAAGAGAUUGAGAUUUGGAAGGAAAUGUGAUAACAGAAGCUUCUGUAAUCUAAUACUAUGUCAGGUGUGUGCACAAUUAAUAAUUAAGAGGCAACUAUUCACAAUUUUCUUACUCUUUUUCACAAUAUUCUCUUUCCCAAACUUACCUUGAGCUGCUGUUUUGAAGAUAAGACUGUUGGUUUCUUAUGGGCUCUGUAAUACUCGAAGUUUCAACGUAUGACUGCUUUGUAAUGACAAACUUUUUCUAAUGCCCCUUGGAUGGAAGUUUCAUUAUUUUUACAAUGAGUGCUGAGUUAGAGCAAAAAAAAAAGUUCAAUUUUAGACUUCCAGUUUGAUUUUUUUCCAUAACCCUUGGCGUCAUUGACUUACUCUGUUCCCUUUCGCAGUUCACAUUCCAGGAGCGAGUAUUCAGCAGCUGGGUAAAUCAGCCCCAAGAAUCCGGAUUUGAUCUUUUCCAAAAUGUUUGAGAUCAUUUUCUCUUUUGAACAUAUCGGAAACAAGGGGAGAUGGAUUUCUGUAGCUGAUGACAGCUGAUUCAGAGCAAUGACAUCAUAAAAUAGUGUGGGUCGUAGGGACUGAGAGCUUGUUAGGAUGUGGAUAUGGACCCCUUGUCUUGGGCUAGCAGUUGAGUCAGAGGGAGUCAAAGAUGUCUAUGGGCAAUAUGUCUGAGUUACAGAGAAAUAAGCUGGCAGAUUCAUCUUUUGGGUCCUGUGGCAUUUCGUGAAAGAAUGCUCUUUUAAAAAUUUGUGUUGGAUGCAACUGUGCUCCCAUAAGGGUAGAGAGAAGGAGAGGAUAUGUGGCAAUUUCUGUAAGUGCUUACUGAAAGGAAAAUUAUCUUGGCAGUCUCAUCCUGCAGCUGGCAAAUCCACAUGACUUUUCUCCAGGGAUGCAGGUAGCGGUCCCUUCUUCUUUAGUAGUAUGUAAAAUACAGUGUAUUUGAGUUUGCUUUCCAAAAUCUGAAGAGGUCUGCAAAAUAUGAGAAGAAACAAUGCAUUGUUUUCAAUCAGUGAAUUAAAAUAAAAUAACUUAUAUUCACAGAAAGUCAACUAUGGGUAGGGAUGCUCUGAAGAAGGUAGAGCAUUAUUAUGUCGGCCAGUAUGAACAGAAUGAGAACUGGUGGCUUUAGUCAAGAAGCAAUAGGUUGAGUCUUCACAUCAAACUUUAUUUUGAAUGGAUUUUGUCAAGCUCUUUCAGCAGCAAGGCUGUAAUGCACUGCACUGCCUAUCUAAAAGGUGUCUGCCUCCAUUCUGCUUUGAUACAGAACAGUUUAAGUAUUUAAGCUUUUGCCAUCAGUUAAACUUGGAAAAUGUUUGCACAGAAGUACAGCGCUGAAUGAAAACUUUCUUAGUGGUGGAAAGACAGAAAAUCCAGUAGUUCAGUUAUAUUUUUGUGUAUGUACUUGGAUAAAUAUCUAUCUAUUUGGGUAAAUAUACAGAGGGGCAGCCUACAGAAGUAGCAGUUCACGCAGGGGCGAAAGCAGAAGACAGACUCCUUGAUACCCAAAUAAGGAGAUAAAGGACACUGUGUCAGUCCUACAGAUGUGUAAAGGUGAGGAGACAGGUGGAAGAGAAGAAAAGAUCCCAAUCACUAUGAGCUUCUAAAGGGAGUGAAAGGCACGUCUCAAGCCAGCAUAUCCUCAGCAGGCUUUGAAGGAUGCAAGAGGCACAGCCAGGACUCGAUGACUGGUGUAUCUGGUCCCCCUGUGUUGUCUUGAGACCUUAUGGGUAAACACGCCUGCGUGCUGGCAGCCACACUUGCACAUGUGAAUCUGGUUUCCUGAGAGAAGGUGGAUGGACGAAGAUAUGUUUUAAAAUCAAUUAUAAUUAUGAGUCAGUUACUGAAGUAAGCUCACGUGUUGAUUUUUGUUACGAUACCACAACAUCAUUUCCUGAGGAGAAGCUUGCUGACAGCAGAGAAAAGCUUGUUAAGGAAAGGACUUUUCUCCAAUUAGGAGGCAGCUGCUGAUGCUCUUAUCUGACUGCUUUGUAGUGUUUUAAUGUCUAAACAGCCUGAACACUGCAAUUGCAAUAAUGAACUCUGCAUAGCAUAGGGGAGUAGCCAACUGACAUCAUUAGCACUAGGGACGCCGAGCAGGGAAGGUAAUAGGAGGAAGAUAUGACCAUUUUCACUGGACAUAAUAUAGGUAAAUUGAUGAGUAUAUACUGGAGUAAGUUCAUACUUAGUCCUUGUUUGACUCUAGAAGCAGCAGCAAGGUCGUUCUGAAUACCUUUCACGUAUCCGCAGUGGUGCUGUGCUGACUGCAUGUCAGAGUUUACGAGAAGAGCCAGCUGAGCUGUUUGCUGUGAGCAAUUUAGAAAAUAUCCCUAGAGUUAAAUACACAUCCUAUACCUCCUGCAGUUUCUCUUCUAACAGGUCAGGUUGUUGUCUGCGAGCAAGUGGGAAGGUAAAGAAGCCCUUAUCUUCUUUCUUCAAUUCUACUGAGCCAAACUCAGGAAAAUUACUGUGACCGAUAAAGUGAGAGAAAGCUGUUUGCUGGUGGCAGUCGCUGGCAUCCUACUCAAACACUGCAAAUGUCAGGUUUUAUCACGGUGGAAAGUCAGAAUUGGCUGUAGCAGCUGUAUUUUCUGUAGGUAAUCUCUGAUCAUCAGACUCCGCGUAUACUCCAGUCUCUAUCCGGCAUUUCUUUUCCAAUGUCUUUUCUCUGUCUUCCCCCCCGCCCCCAAUAAGUGUUUUGAGAGAUUUACUAAGCAGACUGCAGAACACCACUGAAUUUGCUCUCUCCCAUUUGCUCUGAAUUUGGUCUCUCCCAUUGCAAGGCAAAGAGCACAAAAAACAUGCUUGCCUUUGUGGCGAGGAAGAGAACGAUCACUGAAAAUGUGGAUGGCCAUUUGCUGUCUUCUUUCUCAGGCAAUUACAGUUGGAACUGAGCAUCUUAGUUGGUGGGAUCAAUCUGAUAACUUUGUCUCUUUGAGUCUUCCAUAGGAGAUCUCACUGGAAUGAGGAAGAAGAUGCUCUCAUAGACACAAAGCCAUUAGGCACAAAACUGUACAAAAAGUUGGAUAUCAUUUUUUAGUCCUAUUUCUGUAUCUUACUGAGUUCUUGUUCUGUUUUCAGCAUGUCCCUUCAGUGAGGAUAUCCUGGUACAGUCAGGAUCUUCUGAUACAUUUUUUAAAUUCUUGUCCCAGAUUGUUCAAAAAAGUACUUUCUCUGUGAUGAAGACAAAAGUUCCUUCUUCUGUCAAACCUCAGCUUUCAUAAAAGUGACUGAGCUAUUUUAGAUCAAAACUUCAGCAAAAGUACUUGCCUUUGGGAAGGCCAACCUCAGAAACUUUCUGUAUGGUAUGAAGUCCAGGAAUCAGCAUUAGUGGAACUUGGUGUUCACAGGGAAAACUCUGAUGAAAUGGGGAUAGGAUGCUUUGAAAGAUAAUUAUCCAAGUCCUUUACAUAAAUAUAUCUUCUGGAAAAAUACAGGCGUGUUUUGCCUGAAAAGCUCUGCAUCCUCCUAGGUAACAAAGACCUGGGCUUUCAAUUCCUGAUCCCUGCUGCAUGGAUGGCCUUGAGGGGAUGGACCCUGUGCCAGUGGCUGUGCAGUGGGCAGACUGGCACAGCCUGACUGCAUGGCACGCUGCUCCUGUUCCUGUUGCCAUGGCUCCACUCUGGAAUGGAGCUCUGGGGCUCUUAGGCUCCGUGUUGUUGUGCUGAUGGCCCUGAAAUGCAGGGUUUUCUUAUGCUUUUCCAUCUUCAUUUCCCAUGGUGAAGUCGGGGUUGCUGCUGUCCCUCUCAGCAGCAGUGGUCCAGGUGAGUGGGCAGGGGCUCCUGAGGGCAGCGAAACUCUUUGUGUUGGACCCUGCAAGGUGCAGAUGCUUGGCUGAUGCAUGCAGAAGUGCUCUGCUGGAGGCUGAGUUCUUACACUGAUGUCUGCCCCAGGUGAGGAUCUGGUUUUUGAUAGUCUUUUGCACCUAAUAGCUUGGGUGUACAUAGUCAUGUAAACCAAUGGGAGGGGAAAGCAAAUUGGAUUCAAGUAUGGAUUCAUUGUUUGAAUUAUUUUGCUUUAUUUUUUUUAAUCUUGUCCAUUGUUUCGUGUUCAUUGCUAUUUUUGUUUGAGGCACUUGAAGCAGUAUUUGCUUAACAGCCUAAGGUGAAGGGGUUGUCAUUUAGGGAGCAGAUCAGGCUGCUGUUGAAUUUACCUGUAUCAUUUGUUAUUUAGGAGCAGCAUCUCAGCUCUGUGCUACCAUGCAGACAUGGGCAGGCAUGGUUCAAUUGGUAGCUCGGCAUCAUUGGCUAUAAAGUAUAACACUGGGCUUUGUGUGACAGCUUUAAUCAACUUCUGCCUCAAGGUCACCCUUGGCUUCUGAGUUAUGGGAGUACCAAAACCUGCUGUGAUCUAUUUUGAUGAAGGUAAGUCAGUCCAUGUUUUCUGGCAGUUUGACUGUUCUGUGAUCUGUAACUACACUGCUCCUAGUACUAAAAAUAUGCUCCGGACAAAUAUGUGUGGAUGGACAGCUCAAAUAAUAGCAAUCCAUCUUAGCAGAUGGCAUUAGUUCUUCUAUUGUUUCCUUCAGCUGACUUCUCCUUUCAUAAAAGGAGAGGCUCAAUUACUCCCUUAGGAGAUUCAGAACAACCAUCUUUGUCAGAAAAGUUUAGCUUUCUCGUUCAACACUUACAUGGUUUUGGAAGUGAGAAAGGGAUUUGCAAAGGUGUUUGGGCAGCUCAAGUCAGGAUGAGAAGAGGGAGUUGGGUGCCCAGCAGUGCUCCAGCCACUAAGUCCAAUGGCUGCAGAAAUCAAAACCUCCUAUUUGCUUUCUCCCUUGGGCUCCCAUUUUCAGACUCACAUACAGUAGGAUCAGGAGAAUGGCUUGCAAGGUCAGCAUGUGUGCCUUAGGAAUGAUAUGUGACUUGUGUCAGAAUGAUUGCCAAGUGACUGUUAAAAAAAUGUAGUGGAUUCUGUGGUGAAAAUCUGUGGAGUGCUGUAUGUGGGCUACGAUCGUAUCCAGAUAAAACUCAAAUUUACCCUAUAGUUGCAGUUGUGAUGUGACUGAUUAACAGAACCAUGUGUCCAUGUGGACAGCUGGCACACUUACUGAACUGUUCCAUGUUGGUCAAGGAACUCUGAAGCUGAUCUCUGCACAGAGGACAUCUGCCUGCCUGCAGGCAAGGUGGGAGGUGGAGCUUCAGCCAGCCACCUGGCAGCAGGCUGCUCAGGGAAGGGGCAAAGUUGCUGUCCCUGGGGUGUUAAGAAACGUGGAUGUGGC